GAAAAAGUCAGUUUCUAGAAUCCAUCUGAAGUUUUAACCGGCGGCUUACAAGGGAAGAGAGUUUUUCCGUUUUGAACAACGUGCGCAGUUCCUGUCUGUCAAUCCAAGAGCUUACUUACCUGGACCCGAACCUCGGGUAGGUUAACCUUGCCGGCCAGCUCUUCGCGGCUGUACACGUCGGGGUAGUGGGACUUCUCGAAGGCGCGCUCCAGCUCGUGCAGUUGAUUUACACUCCCGGACCAUCUUCAGGCACUUGGAAGCUCCAAGAUCGGCUGAAGACUUUGCGGCUAACCCUGGGCGAUUGAAACCGAAUGACCUCAAAUGUGAGAGUUCCCAGGACUCGGAGAAGACACGCGAUAUUUCCUCUCAUGAACUAUCUUGAAGGGUCAGGAUCCUUAACCAAAUUACAGAGAUGAACAACUCUGGCCGCUUCUCACUUCCACAGGCCAUGCAGACGACCCAAAACUGGGCCAACACUAUCCUGAAUGAGGUCACACAAGUCACACAGAACCCCACGUAGUGGCUUUGAGGAGUUGAUGUGCCAGACUGUGAGGAAUGACAAAUGAAUAUAUAAUGAGGAUUAGUUGACAGUGUGUUGAAACUGAAGUCUGGCUUAGCUCGGGAAGUUUGCGUUUGAAGAAGAACCUAUUAGGGUUGAAGAUGCCAUUCAGGGUGAAGCACUUGCCUAGAAACGUUUAAUCCCCAGCACCUGUUAAAAUAAACUACAA